rnacentral:rRNA from 1 species
GAUGAACGCUGGCGGCGUGCCUAAUACAUGCAAGUCGAGCGAACGGACGAGAAGCUUGCUUCUCUGAUGUUAGCGGCGGACGGGUGAGUAACACGUGGAUAACCUACCUAUAAGACUGGGAUAACUUCGGGAAACCGGAGCUAAUACCGGAUGAUAUUUUGAACCGCAUGGUUCAAAAGUGAAAGACGGUCUUGCUGUCACUUAUAGAUGGAUCCGCGCUGCAUUAGCUAGUUGGUAAGGUAACGGCUUACCAAGGCAACGAUGCAUAGCCGACCUGAGAGGGGGGUCGGCCGCACGGGAAGUGGGACGGGGGCCGGACGCCUGCGGGAGGCAGCAGUAGGGAAUGUGCGGCAGUGGGGGGGAGCCUGACGGAGCGGGGCGGCGUGGGUGAUGAAGGGCUGGGGAUCGUAAAACUCUGUUAUUAGGGAAGAACAUAUGUGUAAGUAACUGUGCACAUCUUGACGGUACCUAAUCAGAAAGCCACGGCUAACUACGUG